AGCAGCCGCGGUAAUUCCAGCUCCAAUAGCGUAUAUUAAAGUUGUUGCAGUUAAAAAGCUCGUAGUUGAAUUUCGGGAUCAAUAUGUUGGUCGUGCCUUCGGUACGUACUAGCUUAUUGAUUUCUCCCUUCUGACGAACCAUGAUGUCAUUAAUUUGGUGUCAUGGGGAAUCAGGACUGUUACUUUGAAAAAAUUAGAGUGUUUAAAGCAGGCUCACGCUUGAAUACAUUAGCAUGGAAUAAUGAAAUAGGACGUUUGAUUCUAUUUUGUUGGUUUCUAGGAUCGACGUAAUGAUUAAUAGGGAUAGUUGGGGGCAUUAGUAUUCAAUUGUCAGAGGUGAAAUUCUUGGAUUUAUUGAAGACUAACUACUGCGAAAGCAUUUGCCAAGGAUGUUUUCAUUAAUCAAGAACGAAAGUUAGGGGAUCGAAGACGAUCAGAUACCGUCGUAGUCUUAACCAUAAACUAUGCCGACUAGGGAUCGGAUGAUGUUAAUUUUUAAUGACUCAUUC
rnacentral:rRNA from 1 species